rnacentral:rRNA from 1 species
CGGCGGACGGGUGAGUAACACGUGGAUAACCUACCUAUAAGACUGGGAUAACUUCGGGAAACCGGAGCUAAUACCGGAUAAUAUUUUGAACCGCAUGGUUCAAAAGUGAAAGACGGUCUUGCUGUUACUUAUAGAUGGAUCCGCGCUGCAUUAGCUAGUUGGUAAGGUAACGGCUUACCAAGGCAACGAUGCAUAGCCGACCUGAGAGGGUGAUCGGCCACACUGGAACUGAGACACGGUCCAG